CAUGAUGGUCAGCCAAGGAGGUACAUGUGAGCACCGGUGGUUGAUGUGCAAGGAAGGAUGGGCUCCUCAGAAAAUAUGAUUCUCCUCAUGUGGAUUCCCCUGCCUACAGAUAAGAGCCUGGCCUGGUGUCAUGGAAGAGAACUCAUUGAUAUGUGGCAGCCAAACGAUGGCUAGCGGAAUCUUGCUCAUCGACAGGCGACAGACGGUGGACCACACCUUACUGCCCAGCAUGUCAUUGGCCUCAUCCAGAACAGUAAGUGAGGCCAGCGUCCCAGACCCGAGGACUUCUGACCAAGCUUGGCUUGCAGAUGCUCAGCUGGGAAAUGAUGGAUCGCUCAGCCGUUCCCAGGACUCUGAGUGGACAGCCGGGACUUGAUCAGAGAAGACAUAUGUGGCAACUGGGUGGGGGAUUCCCCAUACCUAGGUCUUCAUUUUGGGUUUGUCCCAUGUAUCUCAGUGUGUGUGGCCACAUUGCUUUUUGUGAAGAUUAUGUUAAGCAUUGUCUUUUCUUCUGGGCUCUAUGACAGGUACAUAGUUCAAGCCGGAUUGUCUCUGCAGUACCACUGUUAAGCAUCAUUUUUUACUCCGUCACUCCUGACCUGUAGUGUUCAUUUACUCCUUUCAGUUGUCAAAGCACCAGCUUGGACUCAUGUUAUUUCUAGUUUUUCUGCCUGGUAUAGCACCCAAGUAGGAUUUGCACGUCUCUGUGCCAGAAAAUAAGCGUUGUCUUUCAAGACUUUGCCCUGGAUGUCUUGAGGCAUCCAGGUACGUGGACCAUGAAGUAAUAGUUGCUCAGAUAUGCAAUACAAGGAGACAUAAGCCAGAUUGGUUUUCCAUGAUGUGCACUGCUGUGAUGGGCCAUGAGAUGGCCUUGAGCCUCGAAGGGCCCUCAAGGUUCACCCUAGUGAUCCUCAGGAAAGUGCAGAUGUGGGUCCAUCUCACAGCACAGGAUAUGCAAUCUUUAUAUUCAAUGUUCAAGGAUGAUGGUGUCCCUGACCCGUACAGGCACCAACUUCUGUUCCAGAGGGACAUAUGAGAAAUGACAGAGCUAUAGCAAUUCAAGUGUGCAUGAUUUUACAGUGAUUUCCUGGCAGUGAAAACAUAUGUGGAAUCUGUGAAUACUUGGGCAUUGAUUGUGUGUCCUGAUUCAGUAUCAUCAUUGUGGUCUUUCCAAUUUAAUGGUAAGCAAGCAUGGGGUAUUAUACAAGUGGGUAUUAUAUAAAGUAUGGGCUAUUUGGACAAUAUUCUUAGCUUAAUUUUAAUUAACAUUUCCCGAUACAGUUGGAGCAUCUUUUAACAGUAUGUGUGAUAAACUGGAAUAUCCAAGCAUAUUGGUGGUUUAAGCUGUAUCCUUAUAUCUAUCUUUUCACAUUCUCUUUUCAGUUUCUUCUAAUAGAACUCUCUUGUCCAGGAAAGAUUUGUUUUGAAAUUUGCUAGUAACUGUGUUCAUGAUAAUGGGAUCAUUCCUUGUUGCAUCCCAUAUGAUCUCAAGUUUUGGUAAAUGAGUAUUGGGUCUCUCAACACCUGAGGCCAUUCAUUUUUUUGCACAAUGUAUUCUUCCAUCU